rnacentral:rRNA from 1 species
GACGAACGCUGGCGGCGUGCUUAACACAUGCAAGUCGAACGCUGAAGCUCAGCUUUUGUUGGGUGGAUGAGUGGCGAACGGGUGAGUAACACGUGAGUAACCUGCCCCCUUCUUUGGGAUAACGCCCGGAAACGGGUGCUAAUACUGGAUAUUCACUGGUCUUCGCAUGGGGGUUGGUGGAAAGGGUUUUUCUGGUGGGGGAUGGGCUCGCGGCCUAUCAGCUUGUUGGUGGGGUGAUGGCCUACCAAGGCUUUGACGGGUCGCCGGCCUGAGAGGGUGACCGGGCACAUUAGGACUGUAGUACGGCCCAGACUAGUACGGGAGGCAGCAGUGGGGAAUAUUGCACAAUGGGCGCUAGCCUGAUGCAGCGACGCCGCGUGAGGGAUGGAGGCCUUCGGGUUGUGAACCUCUGUCGCUCAUGGUCAAGCCGCAACAAUGGUUGUGGUGAAGGUAGUGGGUAAAGAAGCGCCGGCUAACUACGUG